UGGGCAACCUGCCCUCAGCUCUGGGAUAACUCCAAGAAAUUGGGGCUAAUACCGGAUAUGACUGCUGACCGCAUGGUCUGGUGGUGGAAAGAUUUAUCGGCUGGGGAUGGGCCCGCGGCCUAUCAGCUUGUUGGUGGGGUAGUGGCCUACCAAGGCGACGACGGGUAGCCGGCCUGAGAGGGUGACCGGCCACACUGGGACUGAGACACGGCCCAGACUCCUACGGGAG
rnacentral:rRNA from 1 species